UCUCUGGCAUCAGUGCAUGAUAUAUCAAGGAGAUACUAAUUAAGUAUGCUACCAACACAAUAUGUUGCCAUUUUUCGCACACUUGCAGCAAUCCCACUGAACUGCAAUAUAAACCAAUCUCUCACCUUCAACACCCUUUUCCUUUGCCAAGAAUCAGCUGCUUUGCAACAGACCUCCCUUAUGAUACAGUGCUUAAGAUUAGGUUCAUGUAACCAUUUAAUCCACAAAGUCUUCUUAUUUAGGUGAAUCUCCCAAAUAACUUUAGCAAUUGAAGUUAUACUCCACCCUUCUGCCCCAUAUAACCCCAAGCCACCACAUCUUUUAAAUUUACGAGCAUCCUUCAACGCUAUACAGGUCAUUUUAUGCUUCUCAUCUUUUACUCCCAAAGAAACUUCCUACAGGCAACGUCAAUACCUAUGAGAAUAACGUUGUUAUGAGAGCCAGUAUAUUAGCAGAACAACAACGGGCUAAUGUAUGCUAGAAGCCUGUUGUUGUUGUUGCGGCCAUGUUGACGGUAAUGAGUCCUAAGUAUAAUUUAGUCAUGAAUCAUAUCCGGAUAAAUCUUCCUAAUGUGAGGAGAUAACAUGAAACCGGUUAAAUUUUAGUUGGCAUUUGUUUAACCUUAAAAGUAGAAACUAAAAUUUUCAUUAUAUUGCAUUUUUAUAGUAGUUUGAAUGAUUUUAUCUAUUUCAGCAUAUUGUUGAAAUAAUAGCUUGUAUUUUGCAUUAUAUUAUUUGAAAUAUUUUCUAAAUCAACCUGCAUAUACCAUCUAUUAGAUUAGCUAUUUAUUUGAGACUACUUGAUAGUAUAUUGGAGUAUCCCAAAGCUCAUUUUUUAAGUUAUUGUGGAUAGACCACCUGUUGCCAAAUUUAACUUACUAACCCUAUGGUUUUGUUGUUGCAGAUAAACCGCCUGAAAUAGUUCUAUGCUGCAGAUAGACCCAAUGAAAGGAAAUAUAUUGUUGUAGAUAGACUCCUUGAAGCGGGUAAAAGAUUCACUUAGGGGGUUUAUCUGCUACCAUAGAAUUAUAGAGAGCUGUCACCCUUAUACAUUGAUCUCCAAGGCAUGGUGAACGGUGCAAUAGAGACAUGCAGAGGUGAGCGUAGUUUUACGAUAUCAAAGAGACUAAAAGUUGGUCCAAAAUUAACAAAUUGAGUGGUUAUCCGGCGCUUGUUAGCAGGAUUCGUUUCUGCUAACUUGCGCUCCCACUGAGAUUGAGAUGGCGAAAACUAGAAAAAAUCAUGGGAAAAAAUUGCUAAAGUUUGGAUUUAGUGCUUCAAAUCCGAAUUCAUCUUCUUCGAUUGAUCAAGAAACGGGAUCGAUUGAGGAAGGUGAUGAUUUCUUGAAUAUAAUGGGAUCUACGGGGCCAAAGGGAGAAAAGAAAAAGAGGAUUAUGGAUGAAAUUCUGAAUGAUUCAAACUCAAGAUCUUGUCGGAAUCUUCCUCUGGAGAUUGGAGUUUGUCAGAUCAAUAAAUUCUCCCAACCUGAAAUUGAUUCUGCUCCUCUGGAGAUUGGAGUUUGUCAGCUCAGUGAAUCCUCUCUAGCUGGUGUUGUUCGAAAUUGAUUCUGCUCCUCUGGAGAUUGGAGUUUGUCAGCUCAGUGAAUCCUCUCUAGCUGGUGUUGUUCGCUCUAAUUCUGCUCCUCAGGUGACUGGGAGUUUGUCAGCUCAGUGAAUCCUCUCUAGCUGGUGUUGUUCGCUCUAAUUCUGCUCCUCAGGUGACUGGAGGUUAUCAGAUUAGCGAAUCUGCCCUAGCUGGUGAUGUUGAUUCCGUUGUUAAGGUGAUCAGAGGCGAAUCAUCUCAGUCAGGAGUUCAGAAGAUCAUCUGUGAUACUCUAGGCUCUCUUUCAUAUGCUGGUAAAUCUGUUUAUUAUCGACAACAAAGUGCUUCAUUGCCUUCUUCAACUACUCACGCAUAAUUACAAAAAGAGCAUUAAAAAAGAAGCUUACUGGACGCUCUCAAAUAUUACCGCUGGAACUAGAACUCAGAUCCAGUUUUUCAAUAUGCAUCACGUGCAGAAGUGACUUGCCCUCAAUGAAACCCCUGAUGCCUCUAAGGACUCAGGAUCAGAAGAUUCUGAUAAACUGUGGCAGAGGCCAAUUCGAAUCUACAACACCUAGCAUGUUUUUCCUCAAUGUAUCUUCAUUUAAAAUGAGUUGCUCCUGGCCGGACAAGAGGACUAAUUAUCUCUGCAAUCAACUCAUCGACAAAUAAUAUUAAUGGGUUCAAACAACUUUAACAAUCCAUACAUCAAGCAGUUGGAGAAAGAUGUCUGC